rnacentral:rRNA from 1 species
UACGGGGGGGGCAAGCGUUGUUCGGAAUUACUGGGCGUAAAGGGCUCGUAGGCGGCCAACUAAGUCAGACGUGAAAUCCCUCGGCUUAACCGGGGAACUGCGUCUGAUACUGGAUGGCUUGAGGUUGGGAGAGGGAUGCGGAAUUCCAGGUGUAGCGGUGAAAUGCGCAGAUAUCAGGAGGAACACCGAUGGCGAAGGCAGGUCGCUGGGCAUUAACUGACGCUGAGGAGCGAAAGCAUGGGGAGCGAACAGG